rnacentral:rRNA from 1 species
AGGGCAAGUCUGGUGCCAGCAGCCGCGGUAAUUCCAGCUCCAAUAGCGUAUAUUAAAGUUGUUGCAGUUAAAAAGCUCGUAGUUGAAUUUCGGGGUCAGCAGGUCGGUCGUGCCAAUGGUAUGCACUGGCCUUGCUGAUUCCUCCCUCUUGAUGAGCCGUAAUGCCAUUAAUUUGGUGUUGCGGGGAAUCAGGACUGUUACUUUGAAAAAAUUAGAGUGUUUAAAGUAGGCAAGCGCUUGAAUACAUUAGCAUGGAAUAAUGAAAUAGGACGUUCGAUCCUAUUUUGUUGGUUUCUAGGAUUGACGUAAUGAUUAAUAGGGAUAGUUGGGGGCAUUAGUAUUCAAUUGUCAGAGGUGAAAUUCUUGGAUUUAUUGAAGACUAACUACUGCGAAAGCAUUUGCCAAGGAUGUUUUCAUUAAUCAAGAACGAAAGUUAGGGGAUCGAAGACGAUCAGAUACCGUCGUAGUCUUAACCAUAAACUAUGCCGACUAGGGAUCGGAUGAUGUUAAUUUUUUAAUGACUCAUUCGGCGCCUUACGGGAA